CAAGCGCGCAGUUGUUCAGGUGCUCGUGAAGAGCCUAACAGGGAACCCCGUGCGAAUCGGGGACGGACCCGCCGCUGUAACCCCUCCCUUUUCAGCUUGAGAAGGGAACUGCUUUGGCACCAAUGGCCACUGCCCGUCAUAAGCCGGGUGGGAAGGCCGCCGGAGUGGGGGGGAAGUCAGAAGACCUGCCUGAUCGCAUGGCCCUCGU
rnacentral:ncRNA from 1 species